GUUCAGUCCGGGCCAGCAGCCGCGGUAAUACAGAGGGUGCGAUGGUUAAGUGGAGUUACGGGGCGUGAAGUGGGCGUAUGCGGCUUCGUAAGUCGGAUGUGAAAUCCCUGAGCUUAACUUAGGAAUUGCAUUCGAUACUGGGAAGCUAGAGUAUGGGAGAGGAUGGUAGAAUUCCAGGUGUAGCGGUGAAAUGCGUAGAGAUCUGGAGGAAUACCGAUGGCGAAGGCAGCCAUCUGGCCUAAUACUGACGCUGAGGUACGAAAGCAUGGGGAGCAAACAGGAUUAGAUACCCGUGUAGUC
rnacentral:rRNA from 1 species